UUUUACCACUUGUUGCCUCGACAGUUUAAAACUAUCCGGUUGUCUAUAGCUUCAUGUUGUGGACAGCUUACCCUGCUAAGCACCUACCCUGUAGGAGCUUACCCGGUAACUCUGCGGAUAGUCUGUCGGUGGACUACUUUAAACUCUUGUUUUUAUAAUGCCAAUCUGAAUUUUUAUACUUAAUAAGUUAAAACUUUCAACAACGGAUCUCUUGGUUCUGGCAUCGAUGAAGAACGCAGCGAAAUGCGAUAAGUAAUGUGAAUUGCAGAAUUCAGUGAAUCAUCGAAUCUUUGAACGCACAUUGCGCCCAUUAGUAUUCUAGUGGGCAUGCCUGUUCGAGCGUCAUUUCAACCCUUAAGCCUUGCUUAGUGUUGGGAAUCUACUAGUUCUCUAGUAGUUCCUUAAAUCUAGUGGCAGAGUCUAGGUACACUCUGAGCGUAGUAAUUUAUUAUCUCGCUUCUGUCAGUUGCCUAUACGAUAGCCAUAAGCCUAUAUUUUUAAUGGUGACCUCGGAUCAGGUAGG
rnacentral:rRNA from 1 species